CAGUCGCCGCGGUAAUACGUAGGUGGCAAGCGUUGUCCGGAAUUAUUGGGCGUAAAGGGCUCGCAGGCGGUUUCUUAAGUCUGAUGUGAAAGCCCCCGGCUCAACCGGGGAGGGUCAUUGGAAACUGGGAAACUUGAGUGCAGAAGAGGAGAGUGGAAUUCCACGUGUAGCGGUGAAAUGCGUAGAGAUGUGGAGGAACACCAGUGGCGAAGGCGACUCUCUGGUCUGUAACCGACGCUGAGGAGCGAAAGCGUGGGGAGCGAACAGGAUUAGAUACCCGCGUAGUCCCUGUCUCUUAUAC
rnacentral:rRNA from 1 species